CAGCCGCCGCGGGAAUACGUAGGGUGCGAGCGUUAAUCGGAAUUACUGGGCGUAAAGCGUGCGCAGGCGGUUGUGCAAGACAGAUGUGAAAUCCCCGAGCUUAACUUGGGAACUGCAUUUGUGACUGCACGGCUAGAGUGUGUCAGAGGGGGGUAGAAUUCCACGUGUAGCAGUGAAAUGCGUAGAUAUUCGGAAGAACACCAGUGGCGAAGGCGGCUCACUGGCUCAUACUGGACGCUGAGGUGCGAAAGCGUGGGGAGCAAACAGGAUUAGAUACCCGUGUAGUCCCUGUCUCUUAUCC
rnacentral:rRNA from 1 species